rnacentral:rRNA from 1 species
GACGAGCGCUGGCGGCGCGCCUAACACAUGCAAGUCGAACGGAGCUUAGAGAGCUUGCUUUUUAAGCUUAGUGGCGAACGGGUGAGUAACGCGUGAGUAACCUGCCCUAGAGUGGGGGACAACAGUUGGAAACGACUGCUAAUACCGCAUAAGCCCACGGUACCGCAUGGUACUGAGGGAAAAGGAUUUAUUCGCUUUAGGAUGGACUCGCGUCCAAUUAGCUAGUUGGUGAGGUAACGGCCCACCAAGGCGACGAUUGGUAGCCGGACUGAGAGGUUGAACGGCCACAUUGGGACUGAGACACGGCCCAGAACUCCUACGGGAGGCAGCAGUGGGGGAUAUUGCACAAUGGGGGAAACCCUGAUGCAGCGACGCCGCGUGGAGGAAGAAGGUUUUCGGAUUGUAAACUCCUGUCGUUAGGGACGAUAAUGACGGUACCUAACAAGAAAGCACCGGCUAACUACGUGCCAGCAGCCGCGGUAAAACGUAGGGUGCAAGCGUUGUCCGGAAUUACUGGGUGUAAAGGGAGCGCAGGCGGGAAGACAAGUUGGAAGUGAAAACCAUGGGCUCAACCCAUGAAUUGCUUUCAAAACUGUUUUUCUUGAGUAGUGCAGAGGUAGAUGGAAUUCCCGGUGUAGCGGUGGAAUGCGUAGAUAUCGGGAGGAACACCAGUGGCGAAGGCGGUCUACUGGGCACCAACUGACGCUGAGGCUCGAAAGCAUGGGUAGCAAACAAAAUUAGAUACCCUGGUAGUCCAUGCCGUAAACGAUGAUUACUAGGUGUUGGGGGAUUGACCCCCUCAGUGCCGCAGUUAACACAAUAAGUAAUCCACCUGGGGAGUACGACCGCAAGGUUGAAACUCAAAGGAAUUGACGGGGGCCUGCACAAGCAGUGGGGUAUGUGGUUUAAUUCGAAGCAACGCGAAGAACCUUACCAGGUCUUGACAUCCGAUGCAUAGCACAGAGAUGUGUGAAAUCCUUCGGGACAUCGAGACAGGUGGUGCAUGGUUGUCGUCAGCUCGUGUCGUGAGAUGUUGGGUUAAGUCCCGCAACGAGCGCAACCCUUAUUGCCAGUUACUACGUUAAGAGGACUCUGGCGAGACUGCCGUUGACAAAACGGAGGAAGGUGGGGAUGACGUCAAAUCAUCAUGCCCUUUAUGACCUGGGCUACACACGUACUACAAUGGCGUUAAACAAAGAGAAGCAAGACCGCGAGGUGGAGCAAAACUCAAAAACAACGUCUCAGUUCAGAUUGCAGGCUGCAACUCGCCUGCGUGAAGUCGGAAUUGCUAGUAAUCACGGAUCAGCAUGCCGCGGUGAAUACGUUCCCGGGCCUUGCACU